rnacentral:rRNA from 1 species
UACGUAGGGGGCGAGCGUUGUUCGGAUUUACUGGGCGUAAAGAGCGCGUAGGCGGUUCGAUAAGUCGGAGGUGAAAUCCCUCGGCUCAACCGAGGACCCGCGUCCGAUACUGACGAACUUGAGUGCAGGAGAGGAGAGCGGAAUUCCCAGUGUAGCGGUGAAAUGCGUAGAUAUUGGGAGGAACACCGGUGGCGAAGGCGGCUCUCUGGACUGUCACUGACGCUGAGGCGCGAAAGCUAGGGGAGCAAACGGG